GACGAACGCUGGCGGCGUGCCUAAUACAUGCAAGUUGAGCGCUGAAGGUUGGUACUUGUACCAACUGGAUGAGCAGCGAACGGGUGAGUAACGCGUGGGGAAUCUGCCUUUGAGCGGGGGACAACAUUUGGAAACGAAUGCUAAUACCGCAUAAAAACUUUAAACACAAGUUUUAAGUUUGAAAGAUGCAAUUGCAUCACUCAAAGAUGAUCCCGCGUUGUAUUAGCUAGUUGGUGAGGUAAAGGCUCACCAAGGCGAUGAUACAUAGCCGACCUGAGAGGGUGAUCGGCCACAUUGGGAAUGAGACACGGCCCAAACUCCUACGGGAGGCAGCAGUAGGGAAUCUUCGGCAAUGGACGAAAGUCUGACCGAGCAACGCCGCGGGAGGGAAGAAGGUUUUCGGAUCGUAAAACUCUGUUGGUAGAGAAGAACGUUGGUGAGAGUGGAAAGCUCAUCAAGUGACGGUAACUACCCAGAAAGGGACGGCUAACUACGUG
rnacentral:rRNA from 1 species